CUUCUGAUAAGUGCUUUGCGGUCAGGCCACUAGUCAGUGUCCCGUGGGGUUUGCAGUAGCAGCAUCCCCCUCCCUGGCCUCAAAGUCCAUCCACUGCGAUAGGUUUGCUUAUGUCACGUUCACAAGCCACCCCAGCGUCUCCAGCUUAAAGCCACAGCUUGUUCUCACUCGCACUGCAUGGCAGGGGUUGGCUGAGUUUCUCUCUUCCGUCUUUGCUUCAGGACCCAGGCUGAUGGAAUGACUGCUGCCUAGAACAUUGCAGGUCUUCCCAGAUGAGACACAGAGGCUCUGGAGGGUCGUGCAAUAAUACUGCCUCACCGGAAGCUGAGCCUGGUACACGCAGAGCCCACAGGACACCCACAAGAGUCACAUACCUGCCAUUGACCACCUCUGGGCUUUUAAUACCGAAACUUCAAAGAACUUAUGUGUCUCUCAUUACACUUGCUAGCAAUAUUUAUACAGGAACAUGUUGUAUUUAUAUCCCCAAAAAUCAGUAAGAGAAUUUUAACAAAACCAUGUAUGGGAAAAGUCUUAAGUCACAUUUCAGAAACAAUGUGUAGUGGUUGUAAUAACAUGGGGGCAUUUUGCAAAGUUUGAGAACCAACAAAGAGGCGUGCGCACAGCCAGGGUGGGGCUGGGGCUCCUGCAGAGAGAUUUGCUCCACCCUGCGUUCAGGACGCCACCUGCACGAAAUGUUAAGUUCACCUGCGUGUCGUGUGUGUUACUGGCAUACACGCUUCCCUGGUUUAUAGUAACAUUGUAAUUUUUCUCAUUUUUUAAAAGUAAUCCCAGCACUUUGGGAGGCCGAGGCGGGCGGAUCACGAGGUCAGGAGAUCGAGACCAUCCUGGCUAACACGGUGAAACCCCGUCUCUCCUAAAAAUACAAAAAAUUACCCGGGCGUGGUGGCGGGCGCCUGUAGUCCCAGCUGCUCGGGAGGCUGAGGCAGGAGAAUGGCGUGAACCUGGGAGGCAGAGCUUGCAGUGAGCGGAGAUCGUGAGCUCACUGAGUGAGCGAGACUCCGUCUCAAAAAAAAAAAAAAAAAAAUUUUGUGUUUUUUGAGACAGGGUCUCCAUCUGUUGCCCAGGCUGGAAUACAGUGGUAUGAUCACAACUCACUGCCAUGAGUCUGGGAGCCUCGACCUCCAGAGCUCAAGCAAUCCUCCCGUCUCAGCCUCCCAAAUAGCUGGGACCAUAGCAGUGUGCCACCAUGCCUGGCUAAUUUUUGUAUUUUCUGUAGAGAUGGGGGUCUCACUAUGUUGCCCUGGCUAGUCUCGAACUCCUGGGCUCAAGUGAUACUCCCACCUUGACCUCCCAAAGUGCUUGGAUUAAGGCGUGAGCUACCACACCUGGCCAUUUUUCUCAUUUAAAAUAGAUUAUUGGCCGGGCAUGGUGGCUCAUGCCUGUAAUCCGAGCACUUUGGGAGGCUGAGGCGGGUGGAUCACUUGAGGUCAGGAGUUUGAGACCAGCCUGGCCAAUAUGGUGAAAUCCCAUCUCUACUAAAAUACAAAAAUUAGCCGGAUGUGGUGGUGGUCACUUGUAAUCCCAGCUACUGGGGAGGCUGAGGCAGGAGAAUGGCUUGAACCCAGGAGGCAGAGGUUGCAGUGAGCUGAGAUCGCACCACUGCACUCCAGCCUGGGCAAUGAAGUGAGGUUCCAUCUCAAAAUAAUAAUAAUAAUAAAAUAAAAUAGAUUCUCAACUGAAGGUUCUUGGUAUUAAGUGGAGACAUUAAGUGGAGGGCGUGUGUGUGAGUGCCAGUGGCACCCGCGGACGCUUUUUUCAAAUGACGUGUAUUCAUGGCAUGGACUGCCAUUUUUCACAUUUUCUGUUGACUUUCAUUGGUUGGUGCUGCAAAUGAGCAGGUCACGCUAAGGCUGUGGGUAAUCGCCGCCAUCCUCACUCCUCAGCUGAUCCUUCCCAUGCCCAGAGAGGCUGAAAUAAAAAUGAAAUUUAUAAUCCUGGCAGGGCGCGGUGGCUCACGCCC
rnacentral:lncRNA from 10 species